GGGUCAGUAGGUUGGUCGUGCCACCGGUACGUACUGGUCUCACUGAUUCCUCCUUCCUGAAGAACCGUAAUGCCAUUAAUUUGGUGUUGCGGGGAAACAGGACUGUUACUUUGAAAAAAUUAGAGUGUUUAAAGCAAGCUAACGCUUGAAUACAUUGGCAUGGAAUAAUGAAAUAGGACGAUCGAUCCUAUUUUGUUGGUUUCUAGGAUUGACGUA
rnacentral:rRNA from 1 species